rnacentral:rRNA from 1 species
AAAUUGAAGAGUUUGAUCAUGGCUCAGAUUGAACGCUGGCGGCAGGCCUAACACAUGCAAGUCGAGCGGUAGCACAGAGAGCUUGCUCUCGUGACGAGCGGCGGACGGGUGAGUAAUGUCUGGGAAACUGCCUGAUGGAGGGGGAUAACUACUGGAAACGGUAGCUAAUACCGCAUAACGUCGCAAGACCAAAGUGGGGGACCUUCGGGCCUCAUGCCAUCAGAUGUGCCCAGAUGGGAUUAGCUAGUAGGUGGGGUAACGGCUCACCUAGGCGACGAUCCCUAGCUGGUCUGAGAGGAUGACCAGCCACACUGGAACUGAGACACGGUCCAGACUCCUACGGGAGGCAGCAGUGGGGAAUAUUGCACAAUGGGCGCAAGCCUGAUGCAGCCAUGCCGCGUGUGUGAAGAAGGCCUUCGGGUUGUAAAGCACUUUCAGCGGGGAGGAAGGCGGUGAGGUUAAUAACCUCAUCGAUUGACGUUACCCGCAGAAGAAGCACCGGCUAACUCCGUGCCAGCAGCCGCGGUAAUACGGAGGGUGCAAGCGUUAAUCGGAAUUACUGGGCGUAAAGCGCACGCAGGCGGUCUGUCAAGUCGGAUGUGAAAUCCCGGCUCAACCUGGAACUGCAUUCGAAACUGGCAGGCUAGAGUCUUGUAGAGGGGUAGAAUUCCGUGUAGCGGUGAAAUGCGUAGAGAUCUGGAGGAAUACCGGUGGCGAAGGCGGCCCCCUGGACAAAGACUGACGCUCAGGUGCGAAAGCGUGGGGAGCAAACAGGAUUAGAUACCCUGGUAGUCCACGCCGUAAACGAUGUCGAUUUGGAGGUUGUGCCCUUGAGGCGUGGCUUCCGGAGCUAACGCGUUAAAUCGACCGCCUGGGGAGUACGGCCGCAAGGUUAAAACUCAAAUGAAUUGACGGGGGCCCGCACAAGCGGUGGAGCAUGUGGUUUAAUUCGAUGCAACGCGAAGAACCUUACCUGGUCUUGACAUCCACAGAACUUUCCAGAGAUGGAUUGGUGCCUUCGGGAACUGUGAGACAGGUGCUGCAUGGCUGUCGUCAGCUCGUGUUGUGAAAUGUUGGGUUAAGUCCCGCAACGAGCGCAACCCUUAUCCUUUGUUGCCAGCGGUUCGGCCGGGAACUCAAAGGAGACUGCCAGUGAUAAACUGGAGGAAGGUGGGGAUGACGUCAAGUCAUCAUGGCCCUUACGACCAGGGCUACACACGUGCUACAAUGGCAUAUACAAAGAGAAGCGACCUCGCGAGAGCAAGCGGACCUCAUAAAGUAUGUCGUAGUCCGGAUUGAGUCUGCAACUCGACUCCAUGAAGUCGGAAUCGCUAGUAAUCGUAGAUCAGAAUGCUACGGUGAAUACGUUCCCGGGCCUUGUACACACCGCCCGUCACACCAUGGGAGUGGGUUGCAAAAGAAGUAGGUAGCUUAACCUUCGGGAGGGCGCUUACCACUUUGUGAUUCAUGACUGGGGUGAAGUCGUAACAAGGUAACCGUAGGGGAACCUGCGGUUGGAUCACCUCCUUACCUUAAAGAA